rnacentral:tRNA from 1 species
GGCUCGGUGGUCUAGGGUAAGAUUCUCGCUUCGGGUGCGAGAGGUCCAGUGUUGAAAUCCCGGCCGGGCCC